CCCGCAUCUCUGGCCGCUCGCGUACCCUAGCCGCCUCUCUCCUCUGCUCCCCCGCUCCAGCCGCCUCUCCCCCGCUUCCCUCCCCUCCACUCACGAACCCUAGCGCCGGCGCCACACCCUGCGCAGCCGCUGCAUCCCUCCCCGCUCUUCACUCGACCCCAACUCUGGGGGUCUCCUCUCCCUCCAGCAUCGCCGCUCCACCCUCUCCCGCGACCCUCACCUUCCUUCCUCUCGAAAGGAAGGGAAGGGAAGGCCCCAGAUCGAGCGGAGCGACGCCCAGAUCCGCGGCGGCACCGGCACCAACGCGCCGUCGUCCACCUGGUCCUCGAGGAAGGCCAUGGAUGGGGGCGGAACCAUAGUCCCACACCCAUCCAUGGAUGAUGAUGGCGGUGGCCUUCUCCCAGUGGGAUGGGGAGCAUAGCUUUCUGAUGCGGUGGCCCUCGACGUCUGCGAUGGGCUGUAGCACCUAGGCUUCAAAGGUAGGCCAUCACAAUGGAAACAGAAGGAUGAGCACCAUGGCGGGCGUGCAGAUGUAUGCCAUCGUCAUCGCCAUGUCCCCUAGAUUGACAAGCGGCCGGCCAGAUUCGAGACCAAGCACCCCUGUGCGCUUCCUGUUCUGGCUCCUCAACGCCACCAUGGCUGCGGGAUCCACGACCAUGGCUGCCCGAGCGCCCAGAUGCAGGGCGGUUCUGAACCCAAAGCGCAGUUUGCAGGAUUGACGGGGCUGCUCUCAUUUUUCGGUUUGCUACUGCUCCUUGCAUUCUACCGCUGCUCAUUGUUGUCAUAAGAAUUUGGUUCUUGGGUCCUCCAUGCCGUUAGCCAUCAAGGUUGGUGUGACGCCCCAAGACCGUUGUGCCAGGUGUCCUUCAGUUAUUCGCUGUUGUUGCCUUGUCAUUUGCUUGCGUGUUGCAUCUUGC